rnacentral:lncRNA from 1 species
AGUUUAGGAAAGAGUCGAUUUUAAGUGAGGUUUUGAAUUGGGAUUUGUUUAGAUUUAAUUUUAAAUUAAAAUUAAUAUAAAAAUAUAAUUUUAAAUAAUAGGCAUGGAAGAAUCUCCUAGAAGUUAGUCGAUCUGUUCAUUCAGUGCUUCGUGAAAGGUAAGUAAUGAAUCAUCUUCUCGAGAUAUUCCAUAUUUAUUCUGAAAAUAAAUAAAUUAUUUUCUGAAAUUAUGCAUGAUUUAUGAAAUUAUGUUUUGAAAGAAAAGUACUUUUGAAAUAUUAUGGUACGUCGAUUUAUGCACAUGUUCAGUGAAAAAAAUUAUGACAUAUUAUGGUACAGUGUUUUGAUAUAGAUCGGAUUUAUGCUCUCAGCCUAACUAUGUUUCAGUGGGCCCCGCCAAUGGGGAUUAUACGUUGGUACUCAGUGGACCCUGCCAGUGGGG